rnacentral:rRNA from 1 species
CUUUCCCUACGGGACGCAGCAGUGAGGAAUAUUGGUCAAUGGGCGAGAGCCUGGACCAGCCAAGUCGCGUGAGGGAAGACGGCCCUACGGGUUGUAAACCUCUUUUGUCAGGGAGCAAGAACGGAUACGUGUAUCCGAGCGAGAGUACAGGAAGAAAAAGCAUCGGCUAACUCCGUGCCAGCAGCAGCGGUAAUACGGAGGAUGCGAGCGUUAUCCGGAUUUAUUGGGGUUAAAGGGUGCGUAGGCG